rnacentral:rRNA from 1 species
CAUGCAAGUCGACCGGUGCAGCAAUGCACAGUGGCGCACGGGUGCGUAACACGUAGGUACCUACCCUUUUUCCGGGGGAUACCGAUGGGAAACCCAUGCUAAUACCGCAUGAGACAGUAGCUGGGCAUCUGGCAGCUUGUUAAAGAUUUAUUGGUAGAAGAUGGGCCUGCGGCUGAUUAGGUAGUUGGUGGGGUAAGAGCCCACCAAGCCCAUGAUCAGUAGGGGUUCUGAGAGGAAGAUCCCCCACACUGGCACUGAGAUACGGGCCAGACUCCUACGGGAGGCAGCAGUAGGGAAUAUUGGGCAAUGGCGGAAACGCUGACCCAGCCAUGCCGCGUGCAGGAAGAAGGCGCUCAGCGUUGUAAACUGCUUUUGCCCGGGAAGAAUGAUCGCUACGUGUAGCGGGAGUGACGGUACCGGGUGAAUAAGCACCGGC